UAGGGAAUAUUGCACAAUGGGCGAAAGCCUGAUGCAGCAACGCCGCGUGUGCGAUGAAGGCCUUCGGGUCGUAAAGCACUUUUCUGGGAGAUGAGAAAGGACAGUAUCUCAGGAAUAAGUCUCGGCUAACUACGUGCCAGCAGCCGCGGUAAAACGUAGGAGGCAAGCGUUAUCCGGAUUCACUGGGUGUAAAGCGCGUGCAGGCGGUUCGGUAAGUUGGGCGUGAAAUCUCCUGGCUCAACUAGGAGAGGUCGUUCAAUACUACCGGACUUGAGAGUGGUAGAGGAAGAGGGAAUUCCCGGUGUAGUGGUGAAAUGCGUAGAUAUCGGGAGGAACACCAGUGGCGAAGGCGAUCUUCUGGACCAUUUCUGACGCUCAGACGCGACAGCUAGGGUAGCAAACG
rnacentral:rRNA from 1 species